rnacentral:rRNA from 1 species
AAUCAACGCUGGCGGCGUGCCUAACACAUGCAAGUCGAGCGGUAAGGCCCUUUCGGGGGUACACGAGCGGCGAACGGGUGAGUAACACGUGGGUGACCUGCCCUCAGCUCUGGGAUAAGCCUGGGAAACCGGGUCUAAUACCGGAUAUGACUCCAUGACGCAUGUUGUGGGGUGGAAAGCCUUGUGCGGCUGAGGAUGGGCCCGCGGCCUAUCAGCUUGUUGGUGGGGUGANGGCCUACCAAGGCGACGACGGGUAGCCGGCCUGAGAGGGCGACCGGCCACACUGGGACUGAGACACGGCCCAGACUCCUACGGGAGGCAGCAGUGGGGAAUCUUGCGCAAUGGGCGAAAGCCUGACGCAGCGACGCCGCGUGGGGAUGACGGCCUCGGU